rnacentral:rRNA from 1 species
CUCUUCGGGGAUGAUUAAACCGGCGCACGGGUGAGUAACACGUGAGUGACCUGCCUUUUAGACUGGAACAACUUACCGAAAGGUGAGCUAAUGCCGGAUGAGUUAUAUAAGUGCAUGUUUAUAUAGGAAAAGUUGGGGAGACCUGACGCUGAAAGAUGGACUCGCGUCCCAUUAGCUAGUUGGUAGGGUAAUGGCCUACCAAGGCGACGAUGGGUAGCCGGCCUGAGAGGGUGGCCGGCCACACUGGGACUGAGACACGGCCCAGACUCCUACGGGAGGCAGCAGUGGGAAAUUUUGCGCAAUGCUCGUAAGAGUGACGCAGCGACGCCGCUUGAAUGACGAAGGCCUUCGGGUCGUAAAGUUCUUUCGACAGGGAAGAAAAUGCCUAUAAGUAACUGUGUAUGUAUUGACGGUACCUGUAUAAGCAGCCCCGGCUAACUCCGUGCCAGCAGCCGCGGUAAUACGGAGGGGGCGAGCGUUGUUCGGAGUGACUGGGCGUAAAGAGCACGUAGGCGGUGUUGUAAGUCAUUAGUCAAAGACUAGAGCUCAACUUUAGUAAGGCUAGUGAUACUAUAAUACUAGAGUAUCAGAGAGGAUUGCAGAAUUCCUGGUGUAGCGGUGAAAUGCGUAGAUAUCAGGAGGAAUACCGUUAGCGAAGGCGGCAAUCUGGCUGGAAACUGACGCUGAGGUGCGAAAGCGUGGGUAGCAAACAGGAUUAGAUACCCUGGUAGUCCACGCUGUAAACGAUGGAUGCUAGGUGUUGGGCUUCUAAGUUCAGUGCCGCAGCAAACGCGAUAAGCAUCCCGCCUGGGGA